rnacentral:rRNA from 1 species
UACGAAGGGGGCUAGCGUUGUUCGGAAUUACUGGGCGUAAAGCGCGCGCAGGCGGUUCUUUAAGUCAGGGGUGAAAGCCCAGAGCUCAACUCUGGAAUUGCCUUUGAAACUAGAGAACUUGGGUACGGGAGAGGUGAGUGGAAUUCCUAGUGUAGAGGUGAAAUUCGUAGAUAUUAGGAAGAACACCAGUGGCGAAGGCGGCUCACUGGCCCGGUACUGACGCUGAGGCGCGAAAGCGUGGGGAGCAAACAGG